rnacentral:sRNA from 1 species
UUCAGGAUCCUGUGGACUGAAAAAGCAGGCAAUGACCUUGGAGUUCAGCAGCUUCAGUGCAAGGCUAGAUUCGAUGCAUCUGGGUGUCUUGUACUGGUUAAUGGAGCUGCCAUGGCUAACCAAUAGAUCCAUCAGAGCAUCAAAUGCACCAGCUUCAACAAGCCGUAUCUCCAGAGGCCCUAUGGACCUGUCAUGGGCUCUGCAACGACGGUAGACGUAGUCCAGUGACUCCUCGACAGCAGCACAGCAGCUCUCGAGGAGCUGAGCGUCAAGAGGGGCCGGCCUUUCAUCGUGGGUGGACUUGAUCUCCCAGAACAGCACGUAGUGGCCAGGGACAGUGGAAAUAUCAGUGUAGCUAGUGUACUCCAGGAGGAGGUAAUUUUGGUUCUCCAGGAUUUUCUUAGCAGUGGUGACACUGUUGUGGAGAUCCUCCUCGUUGGUCUUGUCAGAAUCGAUGCUGAGGAUAACAUUUCUCCGGCAAAUGAAUUUGAACUGCGGAGCUCGGUUGUAGAAGCCUGUCACUUGAAGCACAUCACCAACCCUGUACCUGUAAAGACCUG